GACGAACGCUGGCGGCGUGCUUAACACAUGCAAGUCGAACGGAAAGGCCCUGCUUUUGUGGUGUGCUCGAGUGGCGAACGGGUGAGUAACACGUGAGUAACCUGCCCUUGACUUUGGGAUAACUUCAGGAAACUGGGGCUAAUACCGUAUAGGAUCUCCUGCUGCAUGGUGGGGGUUGGAACGUUUCAGCUGUUGGGGAUGGAUGCGCGGCUUAUCGGCUUGUUGGUUGGGGAGUGGCUUACCAAGGCUUUGACUGGUAGGCCGCCUGAGAGGGUGGACGGGCACAAGAGGACUGAGGGACGGAGCAGUGGGCAAUAGGAGGCAGGGGGGGGAAGACUUGCACAGUCGGAGGGAGUCGGUGAAGAAGACGCCCGGGGCGGAAAGACCGUCUGUGGGGUGAGAAACGCAGUAGGCUGAGACGAAGCGGGAGUGACGGUAAUGGAUGAAGAAGCACCGGCUAACUACGUG
rnacentral:rRNA from 1 species